rnacentral:rRNA from 1 species
GUAGUCCACGCCGUAAACGAUGAAUGCUAGGUGUUAGGGGUUUCGAUACCCUUGGUGCCGAAGUUAACACAUUAAGCAUUCCGCCUGGGGAGUACGGUCGCAAGACUGAAACUCAAAGGAAUUGACGGGGACCCGCACAAGCAGUGGAGUAUGUGAUUUAAUUCGAAGCAACGCGAAGAACCUUACCAGGUCUUGACAUCCCUCUGACCGCUCUAGAGAUAGGGCUUUCCUUCGGGACAGAGGAGACAGGUGGUGCAUGGUUGUCGUCAGCUCGUGUCGUGAGAUGUUGGGUUAAGUCCCGCAACGAGCGCAACCCUUGAUCUUAGUUGCCAGCACUUUGGGUGGGCACUCUAAGAUGACUGCCGGUGACAAACCGGAGGAAGGUGGGGAUGACGUCAAAUCAUCAUGCCCCUUAUGACCUGGGCUACACACGUACUACAAUGGCCGAUACAACGGGAAGCGAAACCGCGAGGUGGAGCCAAUCCUAUCAAAGUCGGUCUCAGUUCGGAUUGCAGGCUGCAACUCGCCUGCAUGAAGUCGGAAUUGCUAGUAAUCGCGGAUCAGCAUGCCGCGGUGAAUA